rnacentral:rRNA from 1 species
UACGUAGGGUGCAAGCGUUUAAUCGGAAUUACUGGGCGUAAAGCGUGCGCAGGCGGCUUUGCAAGACAGAUGUGAAAUCCCCGGGCUUAACCUGGGAACUGCAUUUGUGACUGCAUGGCUGGAGUGCGGCAGAGGGGGAUGGAAUUCCGCGUGUAGCAGUGAAAUGCGUAGAUAUGCGGAGGAACACCGAUGGCGAAGGCAAUCCCCUGGACCUGUACUGACGCUCAUGCACGAAAGCGUGGGGA